AUAAAAAAGAGUGAUUAUCUUUCUCCUAACCUUUCUGGUUUUCCUGAUUUCCAAAUUAAUGAAUAGGAAUAUUAUCAUCAAUAGGGGGCACUGACACUAGCUUCCAUUUUAGACAAUAGAAUUUUUUAAGUGCAUUGAGUGCAGAUUCUAGCAUACCUUUGGGCUAUAAAAUAAUCUAAUAUUCUAAUUGUGCUUCACAGUCAACUGUUUGCUGUUUCUUGGGCAUCCGUUAUGCAUUGAGCAGCUGCUUCUAUUGAGAUGGCCAUGACUGCUUUUAGACCUUAUGGAUCCCAGAAGGUGAACCUAUAAUCAAGUCUUUACUGGGGGCUUCUUGGCAAGGCUAUCUCCAGCCACUGUUCCUGGCCUCAUAUAAGGUGUUCUAGAAAGGGGUUCCUCCAGCCGUGCAUCAGGACAAGGAACCAAGUGCUCCAGAAUGUAAUUUCACCAGACAUCACUUUAACCCAGAUAUAAAGGAAAGUGACUGAUGCCAUGUUAAAUGACAUGCUGUGUAGAUCUCAUCUGUUGAAGACCACUUCUGUACCUCUAGAAGGAGAAAAAGCUAUUUCCAGUUGUUACAACUUUUAACAUUCAUAAUGUGAAAUAAUCUGUAUAUUGAAAUCAUUCAAGGGAAAUCUAGUUUUUCUGCAUGCUUAUUUGUACCAAAAAAGUCUUGGUAAACAAUAAAAAAUCAUAUU
rnacentral:lncRNA from 7 species